CCCCGGGCUUAACCUGGGAACUGCAUGUGAUACUGGUGGUGCUAGAAUAUGUGAAAGGGAAGUAGAAUUCCAGGUGUAGCGGUGAAAUGCGUAAAGAUCUGGAGGAAUACCGAUGGCGAAGGCAGCUUCCUGGCAUAAUAUUGACACUGAGAUUCGAAAGCGUGGGUAGCAAACAGGAUUAAAUACCCUGGUAGUCCACGCCGUAAACGAUGUCUACUAGCCGUUGGGGUCCUUGAGACUUUAGUGGCGCAGUUAACGCGAUAAGUAGACCGCCUGGGGAGUACGGCCGCAAGGUUAAAACUCAAA
rnacentral:rRNA from 1 species